ACCAUGGGCAGGUUGAAGGUUGGGUAACACCACCUGGAGGACCGAACCGACUAAUGUUGAAAAAUUAGCGGAUGACCUGUGGCUGGGGGUGAAAGGCCAAUCAAACCGGGAGAUAGCUGGUUCUCCCCGAAAGCUAUUUAGGUAGCGCCUCGUGAAUUCAUCUUCGGGGGUAGAGCACUGUUUUGGCUAGGGGGCCAUCCCGGCUUACCAAUCCAAU
rnacentral:rRNA from 1 species